rnacentral:rRNA from 1 species
UAUGGUAUGUUCCAGCCGCCGCGGUAAUACGUAUGGUGCAAGCGUUAUCCGGAUUUACUGGGUGUAAAGGGAGCGCAGGCGGUGCGGCAAGUCUGAUGUGAAAGCCCGGGGCUCAACCCCGGUACUGCAUUGGAAACUGUCGUACUAGAGUGUCGGAGGGGUAAGCGGAAUUCCUAGUGUAGCGGUGAAAUGCGUAGAUAUUAGGAGGAACACCAGUGGCGAAGGCGGCUUACUGGACGAUAACUGACGCUGAGGCUCGAAAGCGUGGGGAGCAAACAGG